UUCCCAUACCUGUGAUCUGAAAUGCCUU
rnacentral:piRNA from 1 species